AGCCCCGCCCAGCUGUUACUUAGGGUCAUAAGCCUCACCCAUCCCAAAGAACCCACAGAAGAUAUGCUUCCCGCCCAAUUGUUGCUUACAGGGAAAGACAAAUGUGUAGUCUCCUGGUAGCCAUCUUGGGAAUUCCUCACUCACGCCACCCAGAGGCUGUAAUAGGAACGCAGCUUCAGUUGGAAACUUGUCACUACUCUCCACCUCAAUCGUCAGCCAACGUAAACGAUACUUGGUUCAGUUAAUCGACAAGGAAAUAAAUCCUGAGCAGAAGACAGUCAAUUCUGCAGUCUCUCUGGCCCAGAAGCAAUGGGAUAACUAGUAACAUCCCCUACAGAGGCAACAGAGAGCAGCCAGAUGAAAAGCCUCCUUGCAAGGAAUGAGAAAGUAGCUGAGGGACGUUGCAGUGGACAGGAGAGACACUUCUACGCUUCUCUCAAAACACACUACUGGCCUUCAUCUUGUCCACUCCUCACCACCCUCCAUCACAAGUUUUCCUCACACAUGGUAUCUCAAAAAGAUUUGAGGGAAUGGGAAACUGAAAGAAUGCUGAAGCUCAAAUAUGUUUCCUGUAAUUUUAAUGGACGCUCUUAUUUAAAGAGGAAAAACUGAUCAGAUGAUGCAAACAGCUCUGGAAGAACUGUCCCACUCAAACCAUUGAUGGUCAACUAGCCUCAGCAUGGAGAUACUCUGUCCCAGCACUGAAAAGGAGUAGUUUGUGCAGGUUCUUCCUUACUGAACCCUGACUUGGAAAGCUCAGUACAACCACAAAGCCAAAGAGGAAAGGGAUGGGGGGGGGAUGAGUAAUUUUCCCCAUUAAACUUCAUUGCAACUAACUGAGUAAAGUAGGAUAUGUACCAGCCAUUGUUAAUGGUUUCACUGUGUUCUUAAAACUGGAAUACCUGCCUCGUGGGUGUGAUAUUUGCUAGAGAAAUGAUACAGGUAACAUUCUCUCGCCAAGCAUGGCUGCUACUUGAUUUCCCUCGAUGCAGAAGAUGAUCACAUUGUCCCAACUCUAUGGAGAGUUUUCAAGAAUAAUGUACUCUUCACAGUGUGACUUCAGAAGCAAGCAGUAUCACACACACCCCUCCCUCCCUCCCUCCCUCCCUCCCACAUGUGAAUAUUUGGGGCAGUAUGUGGGGGAAGAAUCUUCGGACAGCAGCACUACAUACAAAACAUGACUAAGAAAACACAAACUGCUUGCAAAGGUGGUUAUGGAACUUAUAUGGAUCUGCAAACGGAGAUAAUAUCAGUCCAAUCCAACACCUACCUACCUCCAUCUCCCUUAAUCAAGGCAGUCCUUAGCAGCAGCAUGAAAAUUCCAGGCAUUUGAACAAUGGUUACAAUUUCAAGUUACGUACACUUCAGCAAUCCUUCUUUGGUUCCCUGGUUGAACAAUAAAGGACCACUGGCUUUUGCAAACGUU